CUUUGUAGCAAUAUGAAGUAUCCUAGUGGCGAACGGGUGAGUAACGCGUUGGUGACCUACCCCAAAGUGUGGGAUAACAGUCCGAAAGGAUUGCUAAUACCGCAUGUGGUCUCUGGAUUUAGAAACCGGUGACUAAAGGAGCAAUUCGCUUUGGGAGGGACCUGCGUCCCAUCAGCUAGUUGGUGAGGUAACGGCUCACCAAGGCGACGACGGGUAGGGGACCUGAGAGGGUGGCCCCCCACAAUGGAACUGAAACACGGUCCAUACACCUACGGGUGGCAGCAGUAGGGAAUAUUGGUCAAUGGGCGAAAGCCUGAACCAGCAACGCCGCGUGUGCGAUGAAGGCCUUCGGGUCGUAAAGCACUUUUCUGGGAGAUGAGAAAGGACAGUAUCCCAGGAAUAAGUCUCGGCUAACUACGUGCCAGCAGCCGCGGUAAAACGUAGGAGGCGAGCGUUAAUCGGAAUUACUGGGCGUAAAGCGUGCGCAGGCGGUUUUGUAAGCCAGAUGUGAAAUCCCCGGGCUUAACCUGGGAAUGGCAUUUGGGACUGCAAGGCUGGAGUAUGGCAGAGGGGACUAGAAUUCCUGGUGCAGCAGUGAAAUGCGUAGAUAUCAGGAGGAAUACCGAUGGCGAAGGCAGGUCCCUGGGCUAAUACUGACGCUCAUGCACGAAAGCGUGGGGAGCAAACAGGAUUAGAUA
rnacentral:rRNA from 1 species